GGGUAUAUGUUUUAUUGUUCUAAUCAUAGUAUGAGAAUUGUCGAAACUGGAAAUGCAAGGUUCAUUGAAAAUGAUGAAAUCAAUGGGAGUACAGUUCCACGAGAAGUGAAAAUUAAAGAAGUUCGAGUGUAAGUCCUUUUAGCUUAUGCCUCUAACAGUAAGAUGAUUGCUCCUUCAGUUAUUGCUACAAAAGUAAUGAAGAGGAGCAACACAAUAAUGUACCCAUGAUGCAUAAUGAACCUAUUAUGGAAGAACCACAAGAAGUAGCAUUAAGGAGGUCUCAAAGAGAAAGGAGACCAGCUAUUUUGAAU
rnacentral:lncRNA from 1 species